rnacentral:rRNA from 1 species
CCUACGGGAGGCAGCAGUGAGGAAUAUUGGUCAAUGGGCGGAAGCCUGAUCCAGCCAAGUAGCGUGCAGGAUGACGGCCCUACGGGUUGUAAACUGCUUUUAUACGGGAAUAACUCGCCUUACGUGUAGGGCUUUGCAUGUACCGUAUGAAUAAGGACCGGCUAAUUCCGUGCCAUCCGCCGCGGUACUACGGAAGGUCGGGGCGUUAUCCGGAUUUAUUGGGUUUAAAGGGAGCGUAGGCCGCAUGUCAAGCUUGCUGUGAAAUGUCCGGGCUCAACCCGGGCCUUGCAGCGGGAACUUGCGAGCUUGAGUCCGCGGAAAGCAGGGGGAAUUCGUGGUGUAGCGGUGAAAUGCUUAGAUAUGAGGAAGAACACCGAUUGCGAAGGCAGCUUGCUGCAGCAAAACUGACGCUGAGGCUCGAAAGCGCGGGUAUCGAACAGGAUUAGAUACCCUGGUAGUC